rnacentral:sRNA from 1 species
CAGCCUCCCAAGUAGCUGGGAUUACAGGUGCAUGCAACCAGGCCUGGCUGAUGUUUGUAUUUUUAGUAGAGAUGGGGUUUCACCAUGAUGGUCAGGCUGGUCUUGAACUCCUGACCUCAGGUGAUCCGCCCGCCUCGGACUCCCAAAGUGCUGGGAUUAUAGGCAUGAGCCACCAUGCCCGGCCGGAUGUGAAUUAUCUUAAAAAUUUUCAGAUAAUUCUAAUGGGCCAAGGUUGAGAACCCCUGAUCUGGGCCCAUCCAAGCACCAGGCUGUCACAAACACAUGCACGCACUCACGCCCGUGGGCUUGGGGGGCUUUGGAAAUGUGCUUCUGCUUUUUUGAGAUGGGGUCUUUCUGUUGCCCAUCCUGGAGUGCAGUGGCACGGUCACAGCUCACUGCAGCCUCGACCUCCUGGCCUCAGGUGAUCCUCCCGCCUCAGCCUCCCGAGUGUCUGCUUCUGGUUUUCAUGAUGACCUGGGGGCCAGGCAUACUACACUUGCUGCUGUUCGGGGGCCAGUCCUGUACCAGGAGCCCAUCAACCACAACUCCGCCGAGAAGCACUGAUAUGCAGAGCUAAGCAGCUUUGUUUCCAUGUGGAUCCUGUGUGGGUUCUCUUGGUCCAUCCGUAGACACCGCACUCCUGCAGAGGAUCUUCUCGGGAUGCCCCACUGUCUCCGUUUUUCCUCUUCACUGAACACUCAGUUGGGGCUCGCCAUGAUGCCUCUGUGUCUGCUGGCGUCUCCCCCAUUGGAACAGCCUUCUUGGCCCGCCACGCUGCUAGCCGCUGGGCACCAUGCUUUCUGCCUUUACCGUUCUGCCGUGAUGUUGCCAAAACAGUAAUAAAAAAAAAAAAAAAAAAAAAAAAAAAAAAAAGGAGGCUGGGCGCAGUGGCUCAUGCCUGUAUUCCCAGCAGUUCGAGAUCAGCCUGGGCAACAUGGUGAGACCCUAUCUCUACAUAAAUAAAAAAUGAAAUGAGCUGGUGGGGUGGCACAUGCAUGCCUGUGGUCCCAGCUACUUGGGAGGCUGAGGUCGGAAGAUCGCUGGAGCUUAACCUUGAGGUCAAGGUUGCAGUGAGCCGAGAUGACAUCACUGCACUCCAGCCUGGGACACAGAGACCCUGUGUUAACAAACAAAUACACAAACCACAAAGGGCAGGUCUGAACUUGUCAUUUAAAAAAAAUUUUAAUAAACUUAAAAAAAAUACAUAUCCACAGAUGCAGGUGAAGAACCUGUUGUCUUCCUCAAGCCUCCUUUUCACCCACGGGUGGAAAUGGUACCCUGGAAGCGCAGGCCCACGAGGUCUUUGGUGGGGUCCCUACACGGGGCUUUAGCUUACACUGUGCUGCCCUCCUGUCCCCCGAGUUCCCAGUCUGUCAAAAUCCAACCUGGUCUCCCAGGCCCAGGGCAAGGGUCACCUCCUCCAUGAAGCCUGCCACAUCCUUUGCGCACCCUCAGGCGCUGACCUUGUUCUCCCAGCGCACAGGCACGGGUACACUUUGCCCCUGUAGUAACUCAGGCACAAAAUGAACUCUUGCUGAGGCUCGGCCGCACAGAGCUGAGGGCUGCUGCUUCCAGGUUCAAGUGCAUUUUGAGUUUCAUUCCCAGCUUCCUUCUUUUUCUGGUCUUUAAUUUCUUCUCCGGAUUAGGUCCCACUCAAUGCUUUCCUUCUCAAUUUCCAAAAGAUGAUGGUCAGAGCCAGCAGCACCCUGCCUUCCCUAUGGGUGGGGAGGCCAGCCUGUGGCAGGGGUGUGGGUCCCAUCUUUUUGAAGGAAUUGACCCACAGUGGGCGGGUCCACCUUUGACCUUGCCCCAGGGAGUGCAGACGGAAAAAAGACCCUUGCUUAGUUUGAGUGAGGGGCCGCCGGGGUGCUCGGUUUGUCUUCAGAGGCCUGUCUGUAACACCAAUGCCACCCUGGUGGCACUGACUGGUCACCCUGAAGGCCACGGCCAGUGUCCUAGGAAGGGACUCAAUUUCUAGCUGUGCCACCUGAGAUUCUGGGGUUAGGCUGGUGCUGCUUCUGAAGUUCCACUGUGCUCAAAGUGCUUGGUGAAAGCGAAGGUGAUUUUACAAAAAUAAAUGCAUAAAAUGUCUAGGAAGCACAAAAAAUCCUCAUUACUCUUCUCUCUGAAUAUUUUUUAAGCCCCAACUGGACCCUAGGCAAAAGUGAGUGGCACUCCUCUGCCAGGACUCCAGGCCAGCCCCGGCAUCUUCUUGCUGCCGUCCCAGACAACAGAAGUUACCAGAUGAACAGACUUGGAUUUGCCAAAGGGGUGGAGAGCUAGAAAGCUUGGUUGUGCCUCUCGAUGAUUAUUAAGAUUUCAAUAUUUACAGCAAAACCACAAAGCAAAUGAUAGAAUAAAGCAAAACGAUGGAAAAUCUGAGUUCACUCAUGAGGUAUGUAUGUGAGCUCUGAGGAAAUUACAGAGGGAACGCAUGCAGCUGGACAGCUCUCCCAAUCGCAGCGUGCAAAGUAGACAUCCAUAGUAUCUUUUGAAAAAUGAAAAACACAUUACUUUGAACAACCAAGAAAAAAAAUUGCAAUUUAUUAAGAUUCAAUAAAGCGUUGUACUUUCGAAAGCA